rnacentral:rRNA from 1 species
UUUGUAUAAUGGGUCAGCGACUUAUAUUCUGUAGCAAGGUUAACCGAAUAGGGGAGCCGAAGGGAAACCGAGUCUUAACUGGGCGUUAAGUUGCAGGGUAUAGACCCGAAACCCGGUGAUCUAGCCAUGGGCAGGUUGAAGGUUGGGUAACACUAACUGGAGGACCGAACCGACUAAUGUUGAAAAAUUAGCGGAUGACUUGUGGCUGGGGGUGAAAGGCCAAUCAAACCGGGAGAUAGCUGGUUCUCCCCGAAAGCUAUUUAGGUAGCGCCUCGUGAAUUCAUCUCCGGGGGUAGAGCACUGUUUCGGCAAGGGGGUCAUCCCGACUUACCAACCCGAUGCAAACUGCGAAUACCGGAGAAUGUUAUCACGGGAGACACACGGCGGGUGCUAACGUCCGUCGUGAAGAGGGAAACAACCCAGACCGCCAGCUAAGGUCCCAAAGUCAUGGUUAAGUGGGAAACGAUGUGGGAAGGCCCAGACAGCCAGGAUGUUGGCUUAGAAGCAGCCAUCAUUUAAAGAAAGCGUAAUAGCUCACUGGUCGAGUCGGCCUGCGCGGAAGAUGUAACGGGGCUAAACCAUGCACCGAAGCUGCGGCAGCGACGCUUAUGCGUUGUUGGGUAGGGGAGCGUUCUGUAAGCCUGUGAAGGUGUGCUGUGAGGCAUGCUGGAGGUAUCAGAAGUGCGAAUGCUGACAUAAGUAACGAUAAAGCGGGUGAAAAGCCCGCUCGCCGGAAGACCAAGGGUUCCUGUCCAACGUUAAUCGGGGCAGGGUGAGUCGACCCCUAAGGCGAGGCCGAAAGGCGUAGUCGAUGGGAAACAGGUUAAUAUUCCUGUACUUGGUGUUACUGCGAAGGGGGGACGGAGAAGGCUAUGUUGGCCGGGCGACGGUUGUCCCGGUUUAAGCGUGUAGGCUGGUUUUCCAGGCAAAUCCGGAAAAUCAAGGCUGAGGCGUGAUGACGAGGCACUACGGUGCUGAAGCAACAAAUGCCCUGCUUCCAGGAAAAGCCUCUAAGCAUCAGGUAACAUCAAAUCGUACCCCAAACCGACACAGGUGGUCAGGUAGAGAAUACCAAGGCGCUUGAGAGAACUCGGGUGAAGGAACUAGGCAAAAUGGUGCCGUAACUUCGGGAGAAGGCACGCUGAUAUGUAGGUGAAGUCCCUUGCGGAUGGAGCUGAAAUCAGUCGAAGAUACCAGCUGGCUGCAACUGUUUAUUAAAAACACAGCACUGUGCAAACACGAAAGUGGACGUAUACGGUGUGACGCCUGCCCGGUGCCGGAAGGUUAAUUGAUGGGGUCAGCGCAAGCGAAGCUCUUGAUCGAAGCCCCGGUAAACGGCGGCCGUAACUAUAACGGUCCUAAGGUAGCGAAAUUCCUUGUCGGGUAAGUUCCGACCUGCACGAAUGGCGUAAUGAUGGCCAGGCUGUCUCCACCCGAGACUCAGUGAAAUUGAACUCGCUGUGAAGAUGCAGUGUACCCGCGGCAAGACGGAAAGACCCCGUGAACCUUUACUAUAGCUUGACACUGAACAUUGAGCCUUGAUG